AGUUCCAAUACCAAAUCGCGAUGCCUAAAAUUGAAUUUUAAGGAAAAUUUGCAUUGCCAAAGUGACAGCUAAAGAAAAUGCUUCUGAGUUGUGGCUAAAUAAGCGCUAAUGGAAGUUUCUAAAGAAUUAAAACCAAUACCCUAUUCAACCGAACAGUAAAUGCAACCGCAGAUCCUAUGUAUUAUUAAACCAAAAUUUCAAGAUCCAUGGAACAGAUCUUCACAUGGAAACAAAAUU
rnacentral:misc_RNA from 1 species